ensembl:snRNA U6 U6 spliceosomal RNA
GCGCUCGCUUCAGCAGCACAUAUACUAAAAUUGGAAUGAUACAAGAAGAUUAGCAUGGCCCCU